AACGUAGGUGGCGAGCGUUAUCCGGAUUUACUGGGCGUAAAGGGUGUGCAGGCUGCCCCACAAGUGGUGUAUGAAAGCAUCCGGCUCAACCGGGCAAAUGUAUGCCAGACUGCGGGGCUAGAGAGCGAGAGCGGGACGUGGAAUUCCGGGUGUAGUGGUGAAAUGCGUAGAGAUCCGGAGGAACCCCAGAGGCGAAGGCGGCGUCCUGGCUCGCAUCUGACGCUCAGACACGACAGCAUGGGGAGCGAACGGG
rnacentral:rRNA from 1 species